UACGGAGGGUGCAAGCAUUAAUCGGAAUUAUUGGGCGUAAAGGGCGCGUAGGCGGGGAUAUAAGUCAGAUGUGAAAUCCCGGGGCUCAACCCCGGAACAGCAUUUGAAACUGUAUCUCUGGAGGAUAGGAGGAGAAAAUGGAAUUCCACAAGUAGCGGUAAAAUGCGUAGAUAUGUGGAAGAACACCAGUGGCGAAGGCGGUUUUCUAUCUUAUACCUGACGCUGAGGCGCGAAAGCAAGGGGAUCAAACAGG
rnacentral:rRNA from 1 species